GGGGGUACGUUGAUCGGAAUAUCUGGGCGUAAGCGCGCGCAGGCGGUUUCUUAAGUCUGAUGUGAAAGCCCCCGGCUCAACCGGGGAGGGUCAUUGGAAACUGGGGAACUUGAGUGCAGAAGAGGAGAGUGGAAUUCCACGUGUAGCGGUGAAAUGCGUAGAGAUGUGGAGGAACACCAGUGGCGAAGGCGACUCUCUGGUCUGUAACUGACGCUGAGGCGCGAAAGCGUGGGGAGCGAACAGGAUUAGAUACCCUGGUAGUCCACGCCGUAAACGAUGAGUGCUAAGUGUUAGAGGGUUUCCGCCCUUUAGUGCUGCAGCAAACGCAUUAAGCACUCCGCCUGGGGAGUACGGUCGCAAGACUGAAACUCAAAGGAAUUGACGGGGGCCCGCACAAGCGGUGGAGCAUGUGGUUUAAUUCGAAGCAACGCGAAGAACCUUACCAGGUCUUGACAUCCUCUGACAACCCUAGAGAUAGGGCUUCCCCUUCGGGGGCAGAGUGACAGGUGGUGCAUGGUUGUCGUCAGCUCGUGUCGUGAGAUGUUGGGUUAAGUCCCGCAACGAGCGCAACCCUUGAUCUUAGUUGCCAGCAUUCAGUUGGGCACUCUAAGGUGACUGCCGGUGACAAACCGGAGGAAGGUGGGGAUGACGUCAAAUCAUCAUGCCCCUUAUGACCUGGGCUACACACGUGCUACAAUGGGCAGAACAAAGGGCAGCGAAGCCGCGAGGCUAAGCCAAUCCCACAAAUCUGUUCUCAGUUCGGAUCGCAGUCUGCAACUCGACUGCGUGAAGCUGGAAUCGCUAGUAAUCGCGGAUCACAAUGCCCCGGGGGGAAAAUACUUUCCCGGGGCCUUGUACACACCGCCCGUCACACCACGAAGAGUUUGUAACACCCGAAGUCCGGUGAGGUAACCUUUUUGGAGCCAGCCGCCGAAGGUGGGACAGAUGAUUGGGUGAUAGAAAAAAAAAGGG
rnacentral:rRNA from 1 species